rnacentral:rRNA from 1 species
GAUGAACGCUGGCGGCGUGCUUAACACAUGCAAGUCGAACGCAGUUGCGAACGGGUGAGUAUCGCGUAGGUAACCGCCCGGUAACGGGUGGUAACAAUUGGAAACGACAGCUAAUACCGCAUACUACUAGUUGGACCUGCGUUGUUUUAGCUGGUUGGUGGGGUAACGGCUCACAAAGGCAACGAUGCAUAGCCGACCUGAGAGGGUGAUCGGCCACACUGGGACUGAGACACGGCCCAGACUCCUACGGGAGGCAGCAGUAGGGAAUCUUCGGCAAUGGGCGAAAGUCUGACCGAGCAACGCCGCGUGAGUGAAGAAGGUGUUCGGAUCGUAAAACUCUGUUAUUAGGGAAGCGGUAUCUAACCAGAAAGCCACGGCUAACUACGUGCCAGCAGCCGCGGUAAUAC